GGUAAGGUGGCUGAAGGUAAGCGGCGGGUUGUAGCCCCGUAGAUAGAGGUUUGAGUCCUCUUCUUGCCA
rnacentral:tRNA from 1 species